rnacentral:rRNA from 1 species
AGUGAACGCUGGCGGCAUGCCUAACACAUGCAAGUCGAACGGCAGCAUAGUAUGGCCUGCUUGUUACAUGUGGCGUGGCGCGGGGGGGAGAGGUACACAUGGACGUGUACUGUUUCGGGGGGUAUCUCGUCGAGAGACUUACUAUAACACCACAUACCAUGUAGGUGAAAGAGGAGGGGAGCAUGGCCCCAUGCUCGAUUAGCUGAGGCGAUGUCGGAUUAGCUAGUUGGUGGGGUAAAGGCUCACCAAGGCGACGAUCUGUAGCUGGUCUGAGAGGACGAUCAGCCACACUGGGACUGAGACACGGCCCAGACUCCUACGGGAGGCAGCAGUGGGGAAUAUUGGACAAUGGGCGCAAGCCUGAUCCAGCAAUGCCGCGUGUGUGAAGAAGGCCUUCGGGUUGUAAAGCACUUUUGUCCGGAAAGAAAUGGCUCUGGUUAAUACCUGGGGUCGAUGACGGUACCGGAAGAAUAAGGACCGGCUAACUACGUG